CAGCAGCCGCGGUAAUACAGAGGGUGCAAGCGUUAAUCGGAUUUACUGGGCGUAAAGCGCGCGUAGGUGGCCAAUUAAGUCAAAUGUGAAAUCCCCGAGCUUAACUUGGGAAUUGCAUUCGAUACUGGUUGGCUAGAGUAUGGGAGAGGAUGGUAGAAUUCCAGGUGUAGCGGUGAAAUGCGUAGAGAUCUGGAGGAAUACCGAUGGCGAAGGCAGCCAUCUGGCCUAAUACUGACACUGAGGUGCGAAAGCAUGGGGAGCAAACAGGAUUAGAUACCCUGGUAGUCCAUGCCGUAAACGAUGUCUACUAGCCGUUGGGGCCUUUGAGGCUUUAGUGGCGCAGCUAACGCGAUAAGUAGACCGCCUGGGGAGUACGGUCGCAGGACUAAAACUCAAAUGAAUUGACGGGGGCCCGCACAAGCGGUGGAGCAUGUGGUUUAAUUCGAUGCAACGCGAAGAACCUUACCUGGUCUUGACAUAGUAAGAACUUUCCAGAGAUGGAUUGGUGCCUUCGGGAACUUACAUACAGGUGCUGCAUGGCUGUCGUCAGCUCGUGUCGUGAGAUGUUGGGUUAAGUCCCGCAACGAGCGCAACCCUUUUCCUUAUUUGCCAGCGGGUUAAGCCGGGAACUUUAAGGAUACUGCCAGUGACAAACUGGAGGAAGGCGGGGACGACGUCAAGUCAUUAUGGUCCUUACGACCAGGGCUACACACGUGCUACAAUGGUCGGUACAAAGGGUUGCUACCUCGCGAGAGGAUGCUAAUCUCAAAAAGCCGAUCGUAGUCCGGAUUGGAGUCUGCAACUCGACUCCAU
rnacentral:rRNA from 1 species